CAACGUACUGAGACUCCAUCCCUAAAAUAAAAUAUAAUAUAAUAAAAUACAAAAUAAAAUAAAAUAAAGAUUGCCAGGGUGAUAAUUUAACUUGCCCAAGAAAUUCACCACAUCCCUACUACAUGUGAAUAAAAUUUUCUAUCAUAUAAUUUUUCUUAAUCCUGUUUUUAUAGGAGAUGACAAACAGUUAUCACCAUUCUUUAUAUAAUAGCCCACCUAAUAUUAAAAGUAGAAUUAUGCUUUUUAUGGUCUUCCCCAAUCUGCCUGUGCUAUCCAUGCUGAGAGACACCUUCAGAGUUAACACAAAUAACUUUGUUUUACAACUAUAGUCUAUUGCUGACUGUGAAAUUUGUGAUAUAUUAGCAGAAAUUGCCUUGACUAUUGAAUUCGCAUAUGUCCAGUUGGUCUCCACCUAGGACUUCGUGACUUUUGCUUUUCCUGAUGAACUGUUUUUCACUUUUCCAAUAUUUGUGCCUAACAAGUCAUUCACUGCCUGUUUCAGACCACAUUUUUCUGUAUCACCCAAACAUUUAGCUUGACUUAUGUUUUUCUCAGUUGAAUGUUACUUCACCAUUUAAUGAGAAAGUUGUAUCUCUCUAGAUUGCUAAUUGUUAGGUGAUAUGGUACACAAUAUAAAUAUUAUUUUGCCAGCAUAAAUAACAUUUCUAUCUUCUUAGUAAUCUAUUGAAUGAUCUUCUUAUAGAGGCAGAUAAAAUUGGUUGCCAUGGUGAGCUUAUCAUUAGACUUAUCAAAAGAUUAGUCAGUCUUUUGAUGGAAAUAAAUUUUUGACUAGAAAUUUCCGGGUAACAUCUGUAGUCUUUAUUAAGUUUUGAUUUAUAUGAUUUAAAUUAUAAAAUCACAUUCAUCAUAUAAAAUUAAAAUAUAACAGGUCAGAAAUAAGAAGUGAAAUUCUCUUUCUCCCAUCAUCCCUGGUUUCCUUUAUUAGAAACUCUAUUGAGAUUUUCAUAUGUAUCUGCAUAUAUUAAUCUAGACGUUUUCCUGUAUCCACAACAUUAUAUAUGUAUAUAAUGUAUUAUAACUUACAUAACUUUUAUAUAGUAUCUAUAUAUUUUGGUUUUACUCAAAUGAUAUCAUAGUAUAACAUUAUUCUGCGGCAUUUUCACCAAAAUUAUCAUGCAAAAAUGUUCACAUCAGUCAUUUUUAGAUCUUCCUUAUUGUUUUUUACAAUAAGGAAAAAGUUUUUUAUAAUUACACAUUAUUUGUGUGGAUUAUUAUGAACUAUUUCACUAACCUUAGUGAGUUAGUCUAUGAUACCAAGUGCCUGCAAUGUGCUUGGACUUAUGUUGGAUGUCACGGAGACAAUGGUGAACAAAGACCAAGACUUUGUCCUCAAAGUGCUCACAUUUUUGUGUCCUUAAGGGUAAGUUUUUCACUAUUAUGGCAGCUUUUCUAUUCAGAGUAAAUUUUAUUCCAUUUACAUUUAUUGAUUUCAUAAAUGUGUGUGGUCCUAUUCUGAUGUCUUAGAAGAUUGUAUUUCAUGAUUUAUUGUUUCCUUCUUAUCUGUUUAUAGCUAAAUAGAAUAUACUCUUUUUUCUUUGUAUUUUUUGAGGCGUGAAAAAUGUCAGCUAAACUAACCAGCUUCUUUUAGUAGUUUUCUCAAUAUCUUUAGAUAAUACAUUUGAAUAACUAUUUUUUGAUUAUAAACUUUGUACAAUGUCUGUCUGCUUUGAAACUUAGAAAUUACUAUGUUUGUAUUUUCCUUUACCCCCUAAUUUUAGUACUUUACAUGAUUGUAAAAUAUCAAGGAUUAUAACAUUUACAUUCUGUUCUGUAACCAUAAUUAUCUUGUUUAUUUAAAUCUAGUUUUUCAUUUAUAUUGAUCUAGCACUAGCACUCAUCCUUUAUAGGGAACACAUUAUUUAAAUUUAUCUCUUGCUUGAAGAUAUCUUUCUCUCUCUCUCCAUGUAUAUAUAUAGCCAUAUAUAUAACCAUAGAUAUGAUACAUAUAUCCUUUACAUGUAUGAUGCAUAACUUUAAAAAUGGCCAAUAUAUUUCAUAUGUCCUUGAAUAUUCCAAAAAAUAUAUUAUUUUUGUCUAUAUACUUGACUGAAAAAUCUUGGCUGAGUAUUCAAUGUAUGAGUCAUAUAUUUUUUCUGUUAGAAUUUUGCCAGCAUUUCUCCACUGCAUUGGUCAUUGGAAGUUGAUGUCUGAAAUGCUCCCAAUUUGCUUUUUCUCCACCACACUGUGCCAAGCACACUGUUCAGUGCUGGAGGCACAAAGAGGGAGAAGUCUCAGAUCCCUUCAUUGAGAAGCGCCCCUACUAGGGCGUGGUUGAACCCGAAAUCAGUCAUCUGGCUCAUGGGCAUAAUUCUAACCCAAUAUUUUUGAAUAGAAAGUUUAUCUUUUGUCUUAAGGUCCAGUAACUUCACUAGAAUCUUCAGUUAACGUUCCACAUCAUUUCUUUGUAAACACAGUGUGAUUCUUUAACUUCAUCAUUUUUUUAUUUCAAGAAAGACUUCUUUUGUUAAACCAUUGAGCUUUUGCCUGUUUCUUUGUUUUUGUUUGUUUUCUUCAAGAAUAUCAAUUUUGACUAUUUGGUCACUUUUUGUCUUCCGUUAACUAUUGUUUUCUGUCUCCAGUGAGUUUAUAUGUUUAUUCCUUUAUUUUUGUGUAAUUUGCUUCUUACUGGUUUCAGCAGUAUAUAUUCCAUUCUUUUCUUUUUUAAGUGUAGUUUUCAUCUGAAAAAUGACUAUACUGAUAUUUUCAAUUUAUUUUCUGAAAUUGGUGAGUUCAUGUUUUAUCUCUGUUAUCUUUGAUCCCUCUUUUAUAUAUUUAAUAUCUUUUUAAAAUUCUUCACCCAGAAUCCAUGGUCCAUGUUACAUGUUUUCUUUAGAUUCUUUAAGAAUAUCAUUUGAUAUAAAUUUGGUUCUGCUUAUUGGGAGCAAUUCUUUUAUAAAAUGUGGUAUUUAUCUGAUCUUUGAUUCUCUCUCCCUCCUGUAUUCUCUCUUUGAGAUGAGCAGAUCACCCACAAAGAGGAUUAGGCUUGUUGUAAUUGGAUGUUUAAAUUACACAUUUUACUUUUGUAAUUUAGAGUUUACUUAUCACUCUAAGAUCUGGUGACCUUGGUAUGCAAUUACAAAGAGGGAGGUUCCUCUUUCUUCAGCUCUUCUAACUCCAUCUAACUCCAUCUUUGGCAGUUUCUUGGUGUCAGGAGUUUUAAUGGGAAAAACAAAAACAAAAACAAAAAUGGCCAAUAUUUGUCAUUCACCUCUAGUCAGCCUCUUCUACUGUUCUGGGAAGUAGAAGUUAAGCCUACGUUUUCUCACCCUAAGUAAAGGAUCACUAAUUACCAGUUACUUUUAAGAAAUCUGCAUCUUGGUCAAGAUCUAGAGAGAUGAGUUGUCCCUUAUUUUUUCUCUCAUUUUGUAUCAAUUCAAUUGUAUUUUGCAAUAGUCUUCUUUGUCUUUUUUUGUGGGGUUGUCAUAGCUUCCCAGUUUCAUUGCAAUCAUACUUUUAUCUAAUUCUUAAUUAUUUUAAUCAAUGUUUUAAAUUACAAUGUAGGAAGUAAACAAAUAUUUUUUUCUUCUUAUAUUUUACAAGAAAUCUCCAUUAGUAUGCUUCAAAAUAAAGUAAUCAAAGUAAACAUUUGCAUCAAUUAAAAUUUUUUUUUUUUUCAAAAAGAAAACACUUCAGUGUUUUCAAUUCUUAGGUAAAGUGUUUUCAGUUCUUAGGGACAAAUGUAUUCUGGAAUUCUAAUUUUGAUUUCUUCACUUACCAGCUGUGAUUCUUCUAUUUAGUCAUUAAAUUUUUCUCAGUCUUAAGGGGAUAAAAAUUGCUACUUACCUCACAAGGCUAUUUUGUGGGAAGCAAACAGAAUAAGACAUGAAAAUUUGGAAAGCUACCAAUUCUAAUGCAAGUAUCAGGUACAGUCAAUAUUUACAUUUUACAUAUGGAAAAACACUUCCAUUUUUCCACAUGGAAAAAACCCCAAGUCAUGGCUUAUAGAAGACCAUAAUAGAUUCUGCUUUUUGCUUGAGUUGUCUUCGGAUGAGCUCUGAUUUUUUCACCAAGUCUGAUGGAGAUUGACAAUAGUGCGUAUCAGUGUGUCCGUGCUUGCAAUUACUUCCAUUUAUCCUCACCUUCCGUCAUGUUUGCUAAAAGAGAUAAUGAACCUGGCAGUUCUGUUUCUGAGCGUGUGCGAGGCAGAAAUGGAUAUGGAGAGUUAAGAAGUUUAUACCAGAAAGAGCCAAAAUUUACUUACACAAAAACAUAAUGGAGAAAUAAAGGGCAGUGGAGACCUCAUUUUGGAGGAAAGUUUUGAUGGAGGAUGAGAAUGAAAAAGGAAGAGAGAGGCCAAGUUAAAAAGAGAGAAAAGACAUUUUAAAUUUGUGUUUUUUCUUUAUGAAUUGAAUUUCUUUUAAUAUUUUCAAAAGAUACAAGUAUGUGUUAGAACUAUUUUUAAUUACUUUGGGAUGAAGGACUGUGUUUCUUUAUGAUACAGAAUGACAUAGGACUUACAUGGGAUGCCUCCGAUUUCCUCUUCCUAUCUAUUGUCAGCUCUUCUCCAUCCCGUGCUGUGCCCUGGGAGACUGACCUUGACCUUUGGCGAAUGGGCUGCAUGAUCAAGCAACUAGCAGGAGAAGAGUGAGAUUGGGGAUUUUGUCCUAAUACCCUCUUCCUGACAGUCACUGUGGACCAACUGUGUCGUUUGACAAUAGGUCAUGGUUCCUCUGAGAUCCUUCCCUGAUUCCAGGUUUAAAUAACCACUCCCCUCUUACCCUUUUUGACUCAGGUGUUUUAGCCCCCCACCAUCUUUAGCUCCCAGAUAGUGUUACUAUCCUUUGUGGUUUCUGUACAACCUGUAUAGACUCGUAAAUAAUUCCUUUAUAAACUCCCUACUCAACAAGAAAUGUGUUAUUUUCUGCUAGAACCCCAAAUCGUACAGGACAAAAUGAAGCCCUUAGACUUAUUUGGUUUGUAGAAAUAUGCUUUAAGUGUCUGAUAUUGUCCUAGAAAAAACACAGACGAUUUAAUGGCCAUGUAACUCAAUCAGCUGAAAUGGUCAGAACUUUUUUUUUUUGGCCAGUUUUCAUGCUUUAUAUAUUUCAUGCUUUCCACGUCAAUAGUAGAUGCUAAUUUUAUGGAGAAGGAGCAAAGAAUGCAAAUUUUUUUUGAGCCUCAACUUUGCGUUGGUGUCAGUGUUCAGCAUUUCAUUGUCCUUUGUAAUCCUGGUAUAAAUCUCAUAAGAAAGGUCUAUUUUGCUUCAUUUUUAUAGAUGAAUAUCAUGAGUCUUAAAUUGUUUCUCCAACUCUCAAAACUGGCAAAUGACAGAGCUAUGAUUCAAACAGCUUUGAUCUCAAUUCAUCUAAAAUUGGUUUCCCAAAUUUAUUAUACCUCAGAAGUACAUAGAAAUUCUUUUAAAAAUACAAAUUAUGGCCGGGCGCGGUGGCUCAAGCCUAUAAUCCCAGCACUUUGGGAGGCCGAGACGGGCGGAUCACGAGGUCAGGAGAUCGAGACCAUCCUGGCUGACACGGUGAAACCCCGUCUCUACUAAAAAAAAAAAUACAAAAACUUAGCCGGGCGAGGUGGCGGGCGCCUGUAGUCCCAGCUACUCGGGAGGCUGAGGCAGGAGAAUGGCGUAAACCCACGAGGCGGAGCUUGCAGUGAGCUGAGAUCCGGCCAGUGCACUCCAGCCUGGGCGACAGAGCGAGACUCCGUCUCAAAAAAAAAAAAAAACAAAAAAAACAAAAAAAAACAAAUUAUUAGGAUUAUCUCAGAUAUGCCAAAAAAAAAAAAGAAAAAAAAAGGAAAGAGAAAACCUCUAGGAGUUCUCGAUUUGGAAAGAUUAUCUAAGCCCUCACCCCUCACAUGGUGAUUGUGAUAUGCAGCCAGUUUGGAAAGACUAAAGUUUCAAAUUGAUUCUGCCCCUAAAUGUCAAUCAACUUUUUCCCCCUGGUUCUUAUAUUUGGCCUUUCAAAUACCUUAAACAGAGCCAUAUACCAGAGAGUGAAUUAUUUCACUGUCUAAGAGUGUUUAUUCUGAUUUUCCCUCUAGGUCACUUCUUAAACAAAUUCUGAAUUGUAGCAAUUCUGCACGAACUAAAAGCAAUGUGAAUUAUGUCCAGAAAUAUGGUACUAGAAAUAUUUUUAUCUGUACUAACAUUAUUUAAAACAAAAUUAUAUUAUAGUCCAUGAAAAUACAUAGAGCCUAAAUUAGUAAUUCUGAUAUAUACAAAGUGAGCUAAGUAUAUGUUUUUGUAAAAGUUGACAUAAAAUGAGAAUAUUGGUAUUGAAUUACUUCAUAAUCUCUCUCUAAUCUUCAUGCACAAUAGGUACUGUCUCUAUUGGAGGUGCCUUUCAUGUGUUUAAGGAAUGAAGAAGAAAAUGUGGUAUUAUAUAAACCCUUAGGACUUGAGACUGAGUCUUUGUCCUAUUCAUCAAAUUAUAAUACUACAUAAUUUUUCACUGCCUACUACUCCAUUUCUCCAUCUUUUUUUUUUUUUCCAUUUCUCCAUCUUUAAAAUGACAGCAAGUCCACCUUACUAAAGUUCAAAGAAAUAUCCUAUAAAAUCUGCUCUUUAAAAAAAUAAAUCAUCCUUUCUGUGCCAUCGUGGUGUGUGCUUGACUCCGCUUCUCGCCAUGUCUUCUCACAAGACUUUUAGGAUUAAGUGAUUCCUGGCCAAGAAACAAAAGCAAAAUGAUCCCAUUCCCCAGUGGAUUCAGAAGAAAACUGGUAAUAAAAUCAGGUACAACUCCAAAAGGAGACAUUGGCGAAGAACCAAACUGGGUCUAUACGGAAUUGCACAUGAGACGGCACACACAUUUAUGCUGUCUGAGGGUCGCAACCAUAUUACCAUAUCAAAAUGAAAAUGUCACCACUAUCUGGAGAGUUGGACAUAUUUUGUUGGGAAUAUAUUUUUUUCUAUCUGAAUCUGUUAUGAACGUGUUGGUUUGCUGGGUUCAGUAAUAAAUACGUGAGACCUUUUGUUCAAAUAAAAAUCAAUCAAGCACUGACUUCUGAGAUGACAUUAAAUAAAAGUAUCGAAAUAAAAGCAAUAAAAUAAAGGUAAACAUGAACUACUGUGGGCUUCAUAAAAAGUCCAAAUAUCAAUGAAAGUGUGUUAUUCAACCAUUGAGAAUCCACCGCCUAACGUAAUGCUUACCUGUUAGUAGGUGCUAAAUUUUGGCUUUACUUGGCUAUAUUGGAUCAUUAUUAUAUAAUGUAACAGAUAUGUGCAUGGAUUUUUUAGAGCUACAUUUAUACUUGAAAAUCUAUCAAAAUAAUUACUCCUGCUAGGAAUUUUAGAAUGACUUUUUAAUAUAAACAUUUACCCACCAAGGAACAACAAGGUUAGAAGGGUCUCAGUGAUAGGAAUUGUAACACCAGUUUUUCUUGAUAAAGUUCCUCACACAGGGGAACAGAGUGAGCAUGAAAUAAAAAGUGAUUUUUCCUUUUAAGUUUGAUUGGUUGAAAGGGAGAUCCAAGCAACAGUAGGUAUGAAAUAAUGAUUCUGAAUUUUUAUUUCCGUUGUAGAUAGCAAACGUUUGCUUCUGAAAAGCUUUAGAGUGUUUUAACCUAAAUACCUAAAUAUUUCAUCUUAAGCACUUAAAAUGUUUAAGUGUUAUAACCUUAAAAUAUUUUAUUUUUAGCAUCUAUUAGAGUAAAAACAGUACAAAUGUUUCUUGUUCUAUCCAUGAAAAAAAAAUUUUCCCAAAAAUGUGAUACCAAAAAUCAGCAUCUGCUUUAUAACAUUCACAUCUGUUUGCUCAGUGGAAUUUGCCCUGCCCUCAGCCACAACUAGUACUGAGUGAAUCCACAAGCCUGCUGCUUCCGGGAAGAAUCACGUAGCCAAACACUCAACUUCAAUGGGCCCCCUUUCUCCAUGCAUCCUGAUACAGUUGCUAAUGAAGCCAUGCAUCCCAUCUGUCAAGCAUUUUGGGUGAUCACACCAAAGAGGCCAUGGGCAAAAAGACUCCUACAUACGCCCAGCUCAACAAAACCUACUGGGUACGCCCUAUUUUAUUUUUAGGGUAAUACUUUCUUCUUUGUUUAAAAUUCAAUAGGAAAAAUUUUGUCUUUAAAAACUUAUGAAAGUCUUUGAAAAUUAGACUGUUUAAUUUGAAUUCUAGGAAUGUGCUUUUAUAUUGCCUUAUGUGUGAUGUAUUUUUAUAGAAGACAUUGGACACUCAAAGCUGAUAGCCACCCUUGUUAGAAAGGAACCAUUUAGUCAGUAUUUCUGAGGCCUGCUGUCAUCUUUCCUUCCCCAGUUUGGGAAAGAGAGGGUAGUAUAACGGGUUAUUUUGGAAUAUGCAAGACAUGUGCUGAUGAGCUAUAAUUACAUAGUGACAUCUUGGGAACUGCUAUUUGGAUGCUGCUUCCAGCUAAUUUAUAAUUCUUUAAAGAUGCUACAUUCACAUUGGUUUUCAUUUACUUUCAUUUUUUCCCAUUUCUUUAAAGCUGGUAGCUUUGCUAUUGGUUUAAAUGUCUCAACGAUUUUCUUCUAUGACAUCCAGCCAAGCUGAAUUAAAAUUUGUAACAGCCAAGAAGCUAAAGGUAAAGCUCCUUAAAUAUUUUCCAAAAUUAUCUAAUUGCUUCUUACAAAACUUCUCCUUUGUUUUUGGUGCCUUGUUUUAUCCUAAUUGUCAGACAGUCCGAGUGGAUCUUACUAGGAUCCCAUGAUCUUUUUGCCCUUACUGGGGCCUGAUGUCAUUUUUUGUAGACACUGAUCUAAAAUAAAAUGACAUGAAUCUGUUCAGAUGAAACCAUUUCAGUUAUUCACUUUUUGGGUAUCUGAGUGUCUCCUAUGGACACAGUUUCUUCCCCCAGGUAGCUGACAAUUUUCUGGGACAGGGGCAGGGAAAGAGGUGGCAACAAUAGCGGGCACAAUGGGAGUACUUCUCUGGAGGAGUUAGGAAAGGCGCUGGUAAGUAACUUCUCUGUUGAGACACAUGGUAUAAUAGGCGUCAUUCAGAGAAGGGGAUAGGGCAAGGAAGAACACUUUAGGCACGGGAACAGUAUGUCUCACAAGAAGGAGGUGAGAGCGAGCAGGCUACACUGGGUGUGUACUGCAAGUUGCUGGAUAGGAUAAAAGUUCUAAAGGCAAACUCAGCCCAUUUAUAGAAUGUCUUAAAACAUGGCCAGUUAGUUUUCCCUUGAUCCUGAUGCCCGUUUUGCUUCUUGGCAUGUUACAGCAAAUGAACAGGAGUCAAUGUGAUAGAGAUAGCAAAGUUGUCUCUCUAGUCAUCCUAUUAGCAUGUUGUAGUGAAUUGGAGAAGAGAAGCAGCUGCAGGUUUGCAGAGGAAAUCAAAACAGCAAUUGCUGAUACUCCCCAUGGAACCAUCAGGAAAGCUCAGCACAGAGAGGCUCUAGGGAGCCCAGCAGUCUGAAAUGCUGCCAUGUCAGUGCCUGGAGGGCAUUGCUUUGCUCUCCACUGCAUUUGAUCCUCAAUCUUCAUUUGAUACUGAAACAAACUUCCAGUAAAAAAAGCGUGGUUGGGUUUCCAAGAUCAAUGGUGAACUGAUCUAAUUUUUACUUGAGGCAACUUGAGAUUUAGUUUUAACUUUAGAUAGAAAUAUCUGAGAAUUUGAGUACCAGUUACCCAUUCAAAAGAUAACUAGAUUUCAACUCUGUCCCAAGGAAAAUUUACGUAAAAUUAUUCUCUCCUCCCCUCCUCCCCCUUCUUUUCUUCUCUCCUCCUCCUUCUCCUCCCCCUUCUCUUUUUCUUCUUUUCUCACUCCUCCUCCUCCUCUCUCUUUCUUGCCUGAAGAUCAAGGGCUUCGCUAGUGAUGUGCUCAACCUUAACCAACAUGCAAAUUAUGAAUCUCCUGAAAGGGGGUCAGGAACGUGGGAAACAGCUCCCUCUGUCUGGUGAGGACUGAAGACGUAGUAUUUAUACUUACGUUUUUAAAAGAUGCAGAAAAAAAUGCUCCUGCUUUUUUCCAGAGCAAAGAUAGAAAGCAAUGGGUGUCAUAGAAAUAGUUACUGGAAUCAGAGGCAGAUUCCUACUUCUGGCUCUAUCACAGACUAGCUAUGUGGCAUCUUGGGCUAGUAUGGGAUGUUCGGUGCCUUACCUUGAUCCAUAACUCAGCUUCGUUUGUUCUUCGUAUAAAAAACAUAUGUGGAGAACCUAGAAUCUUCUAGGUGCUAUGCUGGCUUCUGGGAAAUGUGAGGUAAAAACAUCCUACCUUGAUAGAGCAAAGAGUCAAUGGGGGGAAGGCUCCCACAGGGGCGAUAAAUCCAGAGAGAAACAAAUGCACAAUGAUAGUGGGAUGAGGUAUAUGCUAUGAGACAGGUGGACGUGAGUAUCUACAAAAACAAGGAGGAGUAUCACGUAACAGGGAUUGGAGAACCAAGGUUGCAGUCAGGGAAGUUUUUAUACGCGAAGGGAUGUUGGAUGAACAACAUAGAAUGAGACUCUGUUU